rnacentral:rRNA from 1 species
AUUGAACGCUGGCGGCAUGCCUUACACAUGCAAGUCGAACGGUAACAGGUCCUCGGAUGCUGACGAGUGGCGAACGGGUGAGUAAUACAUCGGAACGUGCCUAGUAGUGGGGGAUAACUACUCGAAAGAGUGGCUAAUACCGCAUGAGAUCUACGGAUGAAAGCAGGGGAUCGCAAGACCUUGUGCUACUAGAGCGGCCGAUGGCAGAUUAGGUAGUUGGUGGGAUAAAAGCUUACCAAGCCGACGAUCUGUAGCUGGUCUGAGAGGACGAUCAGCCCCACUGGGACGGAGGAAAGGCCCAGGAUCCUACGGGGAGCAGGAGUGGGGAAUGUUGGACAAUGGGCGCAAGCCUGAUCCAGCAAUGCCGCGUGCAGGAUGAAGGCCUUCGGGUUGUAAACUGCUUUUGUACGGAACGAAAAGCCCCGGGUUAAUACCCUGGGGUCAUGACGGUACCGUAAGAAUAAGCACCGGCUAACUACGUGCCAGCCGCCGCCGUAA